CGUGGCGGUGGGGCUUUGCGGGGCCGCCCCCAGCCCGGCGGCGCUGCGAUGAGCGCCGUUCUGUCCUGUCUGCCACCGUGGCCGAAUCCCAGCUCUGAUCCCAACCUGGGACCGCAGGAGGGUCCCGGUGGGACAUGAGCUGAGGACCCCCUUGCAGCCCCCAUUGCGGACCCCCUGGGCUCAGUGUCACCGUGUCACACGGCCCGGCCCACGCUGUGACAUCUCACCCGGACAAAAGGUCCUCGUCUCCCCGCGCUCCACCAUGGAGGAGGGCCGUGGAGUGGUGGUGGGUGCCCACCUGGGACCCCCACCCCACCCCAACUUCUGGGGCUGGCAUCACCCCGGCACCGUGCCCACCCCAUUCACCGUGCCCACCAUGCCCACCCCACACACCCUCCUGCCCCCACCCCCCAUACAGUGCCAGAACCCUGGCACAGGGGCAUUGCAGUGCCCGCACACCCCAGAUGGAAGGAACGUUUCUGAGUGGAUGAGCAGCUGCAGUGACCCCCCCAGGCCCGGCUACGCCCCACGCAGUGACACGGACCCACAGGGACCGCCCGUUCCUCUUUCUGAGCACGGACAGCUGGCUGCAGGCGGAGCCAUGGGGCGCCCCAUAGCAAUGCUGCUGCUCCUGCUGCUGCUUCCCCACGGCAUCGGGGCCACCACCUCGCAGCCCCCGCUGCUGCCGUGCAGCUGCGACGCGGUGGGCAAAGCGCCGGACUCGUGCCCCAGUGCUGAUUGCCUCUGUGCUAUGGACCACCAACCCGUCAACGCCUCCGAUUUCCACGCACGGGAGUGUCAGGGCAACGUGGGGAUGGUGGCUGUGGCCGUGGAUGCGGUGGUGGUGGGAGUGGGGGUGGGAGUGGGGCUGGUGGUGGUGGGGGUGGUGGUGGGGGUCGUGGUUUGGCGGUGCCGGAGGACGACGGGCACGACGGGGUGGGGGAAGCGGGAGCCCCCUGCAGCCCAUGGGCAGCCCCGCUAUGUCAGCCGUGAGGCGGAGAGCAGCCCUGCUGCCGUGGGGGUGUGCCUGGCUCCCGACUACGAGAACGUCUUCGUCGGCUCCUACAUGGCCUCCAGCGCAGCCCCGGUGCAGGAUGGGGAGCAUGGGUGUCAGCAGGGGGGGUACAGCCCCCAGGCACCGCCGGACGAUCUCUAUUUCAUGGAGAGCGACGCAGGGGAGCAGCCCAUCUACGCCAACACCGGGACCCCCAGAGAGGACAUCUAUGUCAGCCCCGACCCAGCAAAACGGCUGCGCGGCCGUUUCCUGCGCGGGGCUGAGGGCGGAAGCGGCCGCUUCUCCUUGGGGUUUGCACUGCGAAAUGGGGACGGGGCAGUGGGACACGGCGGUCCCUGCACGUCGCUCCCGAGCUCCGCGUGACACCCGGACUGACGGCCUCAAACGCUUCCGGCGCUGCCCUCUGUGAAAUCCGACAGUCUGGGACAAAAGCGCCGUUUUUGGACGCUGCUGGCAGCGUGUGGCUGCGAG
rnacentral:lncRNA from 1 species